UCACAGUCAAACUGUUGUUGAAACUGAAUUAUACCCUGAUGAAGGCAUCACAGUCAAACUGUUGUUGAAACUGAAUUAUACCCUGAUGAAGGUAUACAGUCAAACUGUUGUUGAAACUGAAUAAUACCCUGAUGAAGACAUCACAGUCAAACUGUUGUUGAAACUGAAUUAUACCCUGAUGAAGGCAUCACAGUCAAACUGUUGUUGAAACUGAAUAAUACCCUGAUGAAGGCAUCACAGUCAAACUGUUGUUGAAACUGAAUUAUACCCUGAUGAAGGUAUACAGUCAAACUGUUGUUGAAACUGAAUAAUACCCUGAUGAAGGCAUCACAGUCAAACUGUUGUUGAAAGUGAAUAAUACCCUGAUGAAGGUAUACAGUCAAACUGUUGUUGAAACUGAAUUAUACCCUGAUGAAGGCAUCACAGUCAAACUGUUGUUGAAACUGAAUAAUACCCUGAUGAAGGUAUACAGUCAAACUGUUGUUGAAAGUGAAUAAUACCCUGAUGAAGGUAUACAGUCAAACUGUUGUUGAAACUGAAUAAUACCCUGAUGAAGGUAUACAGUCAAACUGUUGUUGAAACUGAAUAAUACCCUGAUGAAGGUAUACAGUCAAACUGUUGUUGAAACUGAAUAAUACCCUGAUGAAGGUAUACAGUCAAACUGUUGUUGAAACUGAAUAAUACCCUGAUGAAGGCAUCACAGUCAAACUGUUGUUGAAACUGAAUUAUACCCUGAUGAAGACAUCACAUUCAAACUGUUGUUGAAACUGAAUAAUACCCUGAUGAAGACAUCACAGUCAAACUGUUGUUGAAACUGAAUAAUACCCUGAUGAAGACAUCACAGUCAAACUGUUGUUGAAACUGAAUUAUACCCUGAUGAAGACAUCACAGUCAAACUGUUGUUGAAACUGAAUUAUACCCUGAUGAAGGCAUCACAGUCAAACUGUUGUUGAAACUGAAUAAUACCCUGAUGAAGGCAUCACAGUCAAACUGUUGUUGAAACUGAAUUAUACCCUGAUGAAGGUAUACAGUCAAACUGUUGUUGAAACUGAAUUAUACCCUGAUGAAGGUAUACAGUCAAACUGUUGUUGAAACUGAAUAAUACCCUGAUGAAGGUAUACAGUCAAACUGUUGUUGAAACUGAAUUAUACCCUGAUGAAGGUAUACAGUCAAACUGUUGUUGAAACUGAAUAAUACCCUGAUGAAGGUAUACAGUCAAACUGUUGUUGAAACUGAAUAAUACCCUGAUGAAGGUAUACAGUCAAACUGUUGUUGAAACUGAAUUAUACCCUGAUGAAGGCAUCACAGUCAAACUGUUGUUGAAACUGAAUUAUACCCUGAUGAAGGUAUACAGUCAAACUGUUGUUGAAACUGAAUUAUACCCUGAUGAAGGUAUACAGUCAAACUGUUGUUGAAACUGAAUUAUACCCUGAUGAAGGUAUACAGUCAAACUGUUGUUGAAACUGAAUUAUACCCUGAUGAAGGUAUACAGUCAAACUGUUGUUGAAACUGAAUUAUACCCUGAUGAAGGUAUACAGUCAAACUGUUGUUGAAACUGAA